rnacentral:lncRNA from 1 species
CAGUAAUUAAGGUAUUACAAGUGCCCAGAAACCCAUAGACUUAAAUAUUUUAUUUUAGACAUAUUCAAUUUAGAUUCUCCAUUUUGGAGAAAUUUGGAUGCAAACCAGGAAUAAAGGUUUUUGUGAAAUGGUAAAUAGCAGGAUUGUUCUGUCCAUAAUUUCUAAAAUUCAUCACAAUACUCUGGAAAUUGUUGGAAGGAAUCAUUAUAUAAAAGCUCUAUGAAAUGGGUUACCCCUUUGUGGGGUUAAAGUCCAUAAAUUCCAAAAAUGAAAUAAAGUAAUUCAUUUAACAAAUGUGUAUAGAGUGCCUAUUAUGUGCCAGGCAAUGUUCUAGAGUUUUGAGAUAUACAGUGAGCAAACAAUGCUCUCAACUCUCUGGAGCUUAUAUGCUAGUUAUUCUAGUGGGGGAGGCAAGACAAUACGAACAUAAAAAAUGAGAGUAAAGGAUACAGUAUAAAUCAGAAAGUGAUGAUACUAUGGCAAAAAAAACAAAAACAAAAAAAAAACUAAAUAAAAGAAUAAGGAGAUGAGAGCAGGGAGAUAGCCUGCUAUUUUGAAUACACUGGUUGAGAAGGUGCCAUGGAAAACAAGAGUUAAGUGAAAAUUGAACAGAGGAUCCUCAGGAAUGGAAGCAAUAAAUGUGACUUGUUUAUUAUUGGCCCAUUACAUCCAAGAGCAGCCUUUCCUCUCCUGUAUGUGGUUCUGUCAUUCCCCAAGCAAUUAAUGUCAAAAGUGAGGAGCAGGCAUUUGCAAAGAGGCCAAUUAAAGACUACAUCAUUGUCAAAAUGUCUGAAAGCCAGAAACCCAGCAGGCAAGAGAAUCAUGGCAGGAAGAUGGAGUAGUUUGCCUUUGGUCCCACAUGUGGACCCAAGUUGCUUCUAUGGAGUCAAGGAGAUAUUAGCAGCCAUGGAAUGA